rnacentral:tRNA from 1 species
UGUGGAUGUGGCUCAGUGGUAGAGCACUAGCUUGGCCUGUGCAAGGUUCUGGGUUGGAUCCCCAGCACCACAA